UAGGGAAUCUUCCGCAAUGGACGCAAGUCUGACGGAGCAACGCCGCGUGAGUGAAGAAGGAUUUCGGUUCGUAAAACUCUGUUGUUAGAGAAGAACAGCGCAUAGAGUAACUGUUAUGCGUGUGACGGUAUCUAACCAGAAAGCCACGGCUAACUACGUGCCAGCAGCCGCGGUAAUACGUAGGUGGCAAGCGUUGUCCGGAUUUAUUGGGCGUAAAGCGAGCGCAGGCGGUUAGAUAAGUCUGAAGUUAAAGGCAGUGGCUCAACCAUUGUAGGCUUUGGAAACUGUUUAACUUGGGUGCAGAAGGGGAGAGUGGAAUUCCAUGUGUAGGGGUGAAAUGCGUAGAUAUAUGGAGGAACACCGGUGGCGAAAGCGGCUCUCUGGUCUGUAACUGACGCUGAGGCUCGAAAGCGUGGGGAGCGAACAGG
rnacentral:rRNA from 1 species